CCUAGGGUCCCUAUCUUCUGUACUUUCUCUCUAAAAUAUGUAAAAUUAAUUGUAUUUGCUCUUGCUUUAUACGGGCUAGAUCUUUGGCCCCAGCACACACCCUAAUGCCCUGUGUUGGCCACUUAUCCAGUAUUGUAUUAAGUCUAAAUGGUCACAUGCUUAUCCUAUCAUUUCUUCUAAUUUCAUGGAAUAAUUGCCUUUUUUCCUUUUUGUUAGGAACCAUCAACCAGAAAACCACAGCCCUGAGUAAAUAGAAAUAGAGUAUUUCAAGCUGUUUAGUUGGCAUAACAGUGAUGAGUCUAGAGCUCAUUUUCAAGAUAUAAAUAUUCUGUUUAUGGGAGUAAGAGCACCAUUCACAUAGUGUUUCAGAACCUCCACCACAUCUGACAGCAUAGCAAUUCAAUAGCACAAGGGUUUGUGUGCCAGCUUUGCUUGACUAAUAAUGGGUUUUUCCCUGUCUAUAGGGAAAGCUGCACCUGUGCACAUGACAAGAGCAUGAGCUACACUUUCUUCACUUUGUUUGAGGGCUUCCUUGACAAUGGCACUGAUGUGACUCCAUCCAGCAUCCAUUUCUGUGAGAACUCUAUUUGGCAUAUCAUCACUGUGGGCAUGAACAUAACGGAGACUUUCAUAGGAUGCAAUGGUUAA
rnacentral:lncRNA from 1 species